UACAGAGGGUGCGAGCGUUAAUCGGAAUUACUGGGCGUAAAGCGUGCGUAGACGGUUAUCUAAGUCGGAUGUGAAAGCCCCGGGCUCAACCUGGGAAUUGCAUUCGAGACUGAAUAGCUAGGGUGCGGUAGAGGGAAGCGGAAUUUCCGGUGUAGCGGUGAAAUGCGUAGAUAUCGGAAAGGAACAUCAGUGGCGAAAGCGGCUUCCUGGACC
rnacentral:rRNA from 1 species